rnacentral:misc_RNA from 1 species
AGGGAACUCAAGCAGAGCAUCCAGAGUUAUCUUCCCUUUUAAAUGGUCUGUGCAAUUCUAAAUAUGGUAACAAUUCUCGAGAAAAUAGUCUGCGAUAUUCCAGCUUACAAAAAAAUCGUAGGGACCCAAAGAACCAGAAGCCAAAUCGAAAAUCAGGAGAGACUGCAGUGAACCAGGAUAAUUCAGGGCCGGGAGCCAGUCAAGUUCAGGGUACCAGUCAGACAUGUGACUUUAUGUCGGGGCUACACUAUGCCAUUCCGUUCUUGUCGGACCGACUGAGAUCAAGUCUAUUAAACAGACUACGCUGUCAUUCAGAGCCCAGGGACAUAGGAACGAAUUGUGUCACUGAGCAUGCUCCACAGACCAGGGACUUACGGAAUGAGCCGAGUGACUCGGACAGCAGUAGUGAACAGUACGAUCUCCCAGAAAUCCCACGACCUCAGACCCAACAAUUACCUCCUCGUUGUCCUUUCCGACGAGGAUGAGGACAUUGAGGCGGCAGUGAAUCGCCUAGCGGAGGAUGUGGGGAAAUACAACUUCCUGGAACAUUUGAAUCUUGAUCAUCUUGAUGAAGAAAAUAAGGACAAUAGUGGUAAAUCAUGCGGCAGUGAUAGUGAUGUGUGGUAUCAGUUUGUGGAGGGCGGUGCUGGGUUGGACAGUGGACUCGCCGCGUGUUCUGACAAUGACCCUGAUUUAGAGGCUGCCGUCAACUGCCUUGCGGAGCAAGAAGAGAAUAUCAGCUUCAUUGAACAUGAACUUAAUAAGGCAGAAGAUGAGAUUUCCAGUGAUGACUCCUCUGAGACGGUCCCUGACCUAUUUUCGAGUCUGAGCUCAGACAGCUGUCAGGCUGACGACGAGUUUGAGUGUGAUUGUGGGCACUGUGUUGGCUCAGGUCAAGGUCACCAUGACAAUGUCCUUGACCUUGAUUGGCAGACAGCUGACAGACUGGAGAGCUCUGGAAGGGAAGAUAACUCUAGUCCUGAAAGAAUCCCUGUUGGCUCUGUGACCUCUGAACCAGAGGAUGAUGACAUUGAGGAGGGGGUUUAUCAGAUCAGCCUACUGCCUCCACUGGACUCGCAUCAGCUGGAGGCCAUGUUUGAGACAAUGAUCGCCCAGCUACAAGAGAUAAAUCUUGGGGGUGGGGAGGAACAGGCUCCGCCCCCCGCCUCAGUAUCGACCAUUGAGAGCCUUCCUUCCAACCCUGUCACGGACCAGCAAAUCGAUGACCUUGCCCCCUGCUCUAUAUGUCUGUCCUCAUUUGUUGUCAUGGAUACCAGUUCCCAUCUUCCGUGUAACCAUUUGUUUCAUCUCCACUGCAUCCAAGCUUGGCUGGCCAAGUCUGCUACCUGUCCUGUCUGCAGACGUCAUUUAGAGUCUCCAGGAAACAGCUAGUGAGCAUGCCCAGUCUACAGGAAAUGACAUCAUGAUACCUCAAAACCCCAUCAUUUUUGACAUCGAAAAUUAAUGAGAGAAAAAUGCAAGAAGAUUGUUGUAUGACUCAUGUUGUUACCAGUGGUUUAUUAGGUGGUCUUGUUUCAUGUAAAGCAAUAUUGCUUCAUGUUGCUUUUUAGUUUUAAGUGGAACUAACAGAAUUGUAUUAUACUGUAUGUGUCUUUUCCAAAUGUGGAGUUGACAUUUACUCUAGGAUUGGAAACAAAGGUCUUUACUUUCCAACAUUCUUUCAAUUUUUUUUUUUCAUUUUUUUAUUUUUUGCUUUUUAUUACAUAAUAUUAGCACUUAUCUUUUAAAAAAUUGUUUUGUUAUGUUUUUGUUUUAUCAUAUUAUUAAUCAUUUUUGUUUGAGUUAUUUAUAUGAGAAGAAUUCAUUUUUUAUGAAUUAAAAAGUGCAAUAUCAUUUGUGAUUAAUUAGAAGCUUUGGUGUAUAUGCUUACUGUAUAUGUAUAUGCCAAGGGCACAUACGCGGUAAUAGCUUUUACAAAAUCCUAUUCAUUUUCAAAAUACAAGUAGGGUAUAUCAGCUUGUAAAUGUAUAUGGUUUAAUUUAGGGAGAAAUAUGUAACACUGUUAUCUAUAUAUAUCACGUAUGCUUGAAAAAUCUUCUGCAAUCGAAAAAACAUGGAAUUAUUUCUGCAGUUACUUGUUAUGUGUAAUGUUAUAAAUGAUGUAUUGCAAAAUAAUAAAUCCUUUGAAUGCUUU